AUGAACGCUGGCGGCGUGCCUAAUACAUGCAAGUCGAGCGAACGGACGAGAAGCUUGCUUCUCUGAUGUUAUCGGCGGACGGGUGAGUAACACGUGGAUAACCUACCUAUAAGACUGGGAUAACUUCGGGAAACCGGAGCUAAUACCGGAUAAUAUUUUGAACCGCAUGGUUCCAAAGUGAAAGACGGUCUUGCUUUCACUUAUAGAUGGAUCCGCGCUGCAUUAGCUAGUUGGUAAGGUAACGGCUUACCAAGGCAACGAUGCAUAGCCGACCUGAGAGGGUGAUCGGCCACACUGGAACUGAGACACGGUCCAGACUCCUACGGGAGGCAGCAGUAGGGAAUCUUCCGCAAUGGGCGAAAGCCUGACGGAGCAACGCCGCGUGAGUGAUGAAGGUCUUCGGAUCGUAAAACUCUGUUAUUAGGGAAGAACAUAUGUGUAAGUAACUGUGCACAUCUUGACGGUACCUAAUCAGAAAGCCACGGCUAACUACGUG
rnacentral:rRNA from 1 species